GUGGAGAUGGCUCAGUCAGUAAAGAGCUUGUCUUGUAAGCAAUGAAGACUUGGGUUCAAGCCCCAGGUCCCACA
rnacentral:tRNA from 1 species